rnacentral:rRNA from 1 species
CCUACGGGCAGCAGCAGUGGGGGAUAUUGCACAAUGGGGGAAACCCUGAUGCAGCGACGCCGCGUGUGGGAAGACGGUCUUCUGGAUUGUAAACCACUGUCCCCAGGGACGAAAAUGACGGUACCUAGGGAGGAAGCUCCGGCUAACUACGUGCCAGCAGCCGCGGUAAUACGUAGGGAGCAAGCGUUGUCCGGAAUUACUGGGUGUAAAGGGAGCGUAGGCGGGGAUGCAAGUUGGGUGUCAAAACUACCGGCUCAACCGAUAGUCGCACUCAAAACUGCAACUCUUGAGUGAAGUAGAGGCAGGCGGAAUUCCUAGUGUAGCGGUGAAAUGCGUAGAUAGUAGGAGGAACACCAGUGGCGAAGGCGGCCUGCUGGGCUUUUACUGACGCUGAGGCUCGAAAGUGUGGGGAGCAAACAGGAUUAGAUACCCCAGUAGUC